rnacentral:rRNA from 1 species
GUCUAUUAUGAAGUUAUUUAUAGUCUGGCCUGCUCCCUGACUAUAAAGUUAAAGAGCCGCGGUAAUUUGACCGUGCAAAGGUAGCAUAAUCAUUAGUUUCUUAAUUGGGAACUUGUAUGAAAGGUCUGACAAAGGAAAAGCUGUCUUUAUUGUAAAGGUUGAAUUUAACUUUUAAGUGAAAAGGCUUAAAUGAUUUAGAGGGACGAUAAGACCCUAUAAAGCUUUAUAUAAAAAAUAAUCAAAAUUGAAUUUAUAAUAAAAAUUUAAAUUAAUUAUUAUAUUUUAUUGGGGUGAUAUUAAUAAAAGUAAUAUUAACUGUUAAAAAAAAAUACGUGAAUAAAAGAAUUGAAUAUAUUAAUGAUCCUUGUUUAAAGAUUAAAAGAUUAAGUUACUUUAGGGAUAACAGCGUAAUUCUUCUUAAGAGUUCAUAUCGAAAGAAGAGAUUUUGACCUCGAUGUUGAAUUAAAAUAUCUGUGUAAAGUAGCCAUUACAUGAGAAGGUC